rnacentral:rRNA from 1 species
CAGUAGCCGCGGGAAUACGAAGGGGGCUAGCGUUGCUCGGAAUGACUGGGCGUAAAGGGCUCGCAGGCGGUUUCUUAAGUCUGAUGUGAAAGCCCCCGGCUCAACCGGGGAGGGUCAUUGGAAACUGGGAAACUUGAGUGCAGAAGAGGAGAGUGGAAUUCCACGUGUAGCGGUGAAAUGCGUAGAGAUGUGGAGGAACACCAGUGGCGAAGGCGACUCUCUGGUCUGUAACUGACGCUGAGGAGCGAAAGCGUGGGGAGCGAACAGGAUUAGAUACCCCCGUAGUCCCUGUCUCUUAUAU